UUAAUGUUAAACUUGUUAAUAACAAGAUGAUUCUUGUUUAGUGCUAAAAAGAUAGACAGAGGGAAGGAAACAACUUAAAAGGGAGAACUGAUUUUUACCCUGCUUUUUGGAAAAAGCUGUUUAGCUCAUCCCAUCUAUGCAUUGAAUAUUCAGAAUUAAUGAUCCUUAAUAAGCUCCCAGGAAAAAGGUGGUCCCCAAAAGAAUAAAAGAAAGAAGAGGUAACUUCUUGUGAAUAUUAUAGAGAUGUCUAUUCUUUCUUACCCUUUACUGCAUUUAAC